rnacentral:tRNA from 1 species
AGCUUUAUAGUCAAUAAUGAUAUUAAAUUGCAAAUUUAAAGGGGUAUAAAUACUAAGGCUU